GCGCAGCCAUAUAAGAUAUUGUCAAAUGGCCGGGACAAAGGAUCGCGAUCCCGCGAGGGUGAGCUAACUCCAAAAAUCUGUCCUCAAUUUGGAUUAUAGUGUGCAACUCGCCUGCGUGAAGCCGGAAUCGCUAGUAAUUGCUGGUCAGCCAUACGGCACUGAAUUUGCUCCC
rfam:Lupinus angustifolius cultivar Tanjil chromosome LG05, whole genome shotgun sequence.